ACGCUCGACACCUACGGGAGGAGCAGUGGGGAAUAUUGCACAAUGGGGGAAACCCUGAUGCAGCGACGCCGCGUGGAGGAAGAAGGUCUUCGGAUUGUAAACUCCUGUUGUUGGGGAAAAAGAGGAUGGUACCCAACAAGGAAGUGACGGCUAACUACGUGCCAGCACGCCGGACGGUAAUCUGGAGGCGGGCGUGGACGAAGGC
rnacentral:rRNA from 1 species